rnacentral:rRNA from 1 species
CAGUCGCCGCGGUAAUACGUAGGGUGCGAGCGUUAAUCGGAAUUACUGGGCGUAAAGCGUGCGCAGGCGGUUAUGUAAGACAGAUGUGAAAUCCCCGGGCUCAACCUGGGAACUGCAUUUGUGACUGCAUGGCUAGAGUACGGUAGAGGGGGAUGGAAUUCCGCGUGUAGCAGUGAAAUGCGUAGAUAUGCGGAGGAACACCGAUGGCGAAGGCAAUCCCCUGGACCUGUACUGACGCUAAUGCACGAAAGCGUGGGGAGCAAACAGGAUUAGAUACCCGUGUAGUCCCUGUCUCUUAUAC